CCGGGAGCACCGGCGGCGGCGGCUGCUGCUGCACUGGCUGCGUUCGGAACUGGGUGUCGGUGGCUGUGGUGGCGGCAAAGUAAAGAGGAUGGAGGGGGCGGUGAGGCUGGAGGCUGGUCAGAGAUCUCCUUCCGAGUCGCGUCCUCCCACGCGCCCCCUUCCAACACGAACACCCACGGCCCCUUGCUCCGCGACCGCGCCAAGAACGCAGCCUAAUUAGGGGUCCACUGUCUUCUUAAAGAGACAAGCUCGGCCUUGUGUAACGCCGAAACCCCUGUUGAGAGGAGAGGGAGGAUCACGCCGAAUCCACUCCGUUCGGUUCACAUCAAUUUUACGCGCCGCUGGAGCCGGCAUAAUUUUCCGUCUGAACGCGGGCUAGGGCCCUGUUCCUGUUUAGAGCUGAAGACAGAGCUGCCAGACGCUUACCGGAGCAGGGGCCGGGGCAAGAAGGCGUGGGGGAUUGAGGGGGCCCCCCUCCGAGCCCCAGGGAGCUGGCAUUGCCGUUUAACCCCAAAGCUGGACUGACUUCCCUCAGCUGUUAUCCCAGAAAGCUCCCCAAGACUGGGGUCCUGCCGGGGGUCGGGAGGGUGUAACCGUGGAGGCCCAGGAUCAAGGGUCGUCCGAUUCCCAAAGAAACUGCCCAGGGCCCACCCGUACCUCGCAGACUGUCAGUCUGUCCGGACUGAAGCAACGGCAACCGGUGCCGGCCCCCGGCACGGGGAGGAAAACGCCCCUACGCGUCCCGAGCUGCUUUCUCCUCCGGAUCAGAGGAAACUGCUUCUCUUUUUCCCGUCCUUUGGAGGAAUGUCAAGUUUGUCGCGAUUAAAACGGGCAGGGGGCCACGCUUGUCAAGAGAAGUGGUGGGUCGGCCGCCGCCCAGACAGGGGCUGGGAAGAAUAAGAUGGAGGAUUCUUCUGGGCAGAUGGCUGUUGGGCAGUUGAAAUGUGGCCAGUCCAAGAUGAGAUUGGGUCACAAACAUAGUGGGAUGUGGAGGGCUGUCUGGACCUCGCCAUGAAGUCAACAGAAUGGACCCAUAACCCUGACUCAACAUCAGUAGCUACAGAGGUGGCAAUUCUCAUUCUGCAAGAACCCUUGGUUGAAGAUAAGAAUCCCGUUUUCUUUUCGGCUGACUCACCCUGGUACCAAAUGGGGUGCUUUGGCUGAGUGUGUGAGAAUGACAAAGGUCUUAUCGGACUCCUGUCUUCAAUAGUCACACCUUACAUCAGCAAUAAUCCUGAAUGUCCGAGAGAGAUCCUGGACUUCUAACUAGUCUGCACAAUUAAUUAUCUGAAUAUUUUAAAGGAAUUUAUUCUGUGAUUUUUUAAAUCAUACUUUUAAAAUACACUGUUAAAAAAGACUCUCUCACUCAAGAAAAAGUUAUAUUAUGUUUAAUUCCUUGCAUCUAAAAGGGACCUUUAAGAGAUUUUUCUGUUCUAUUCCCCUGCCUUUAAGCAAACAAAGUAUUAUUAUCCACACUUUAAAGACUAAUCACCUGAGGCUCAGAAAAAGUCGCUUGCCUGAGGAUAUACAGCUUGUAAGUACUGAAGCAGAAAACUUCUAUCUUCUACCUCCUUAUUUUAAAACUAUAUAAAAUCCUUUUUCCACAAGUGGGUAUUAAUUAAAGUAUGUGAUUUAAACAGGACCCAACUCACCUGUGUGGUUUAUGCCUUUUCAAGCAGAUGUUUUAUUGCUGAAAUGGGGGUGAAGAUGACUGUGUUACCGUUGCCACUGGGCAAAACUUAAACCUGAGGAUUCCCAUGGCUGCAGUAAGCAAACUUGGCGCCCUGCUUUCCUCCAGCCCCCAACCUCAGAGUCUCUGAAAAUCUUGGUAAGCACAAUUCAAGAGCAAUGAACUUAAACAUGAACUGUGCAUAAGCACUAGUCCUUUCACUUUCCACAACAGCAGGGUUCACACCUAUUCAGGGGUGCCUGCCACGCUUUCACAUUGGCUAUCACAAUAGCCUGCAGGGCAGAUAUUACAGGAGAAAAGCUGUGUGCCUACUUUCUGAAAUGGGUGGCAUGGGAAUGGAGUAGGUGUAGGAAAGUAUAACUAGAUACUAUGUGCUUUGUACAAGAAAAUAUCUCAUCAAAGUCCAGUAUUAUUUUCACUGAAACUGGGACUCAACUCACAGCCUACCAUGAUCGGGUUAACCUCAGUUGGUCCCUUUAACCUUUCUGAUUUUGUCCAUAUGGUGUCUCAUCCAUGAAGUAUCAUCUCUAAACCUCUCCUCACUCAAUGCAAACAUUUGCAGCUCCUCAAAUGUUUUUAUUUUAUUAUUUGGGAGUUGGAUUGGUCAUAUAGAAUGAAUUUUGAUUCAGGAUCAUUUGCUAAGCUUAAUUGCUUUUUCUUUCCCUCUCACUAAUACUUCCAAAGAAAUGAACUUCUGGAAUGAAUAGUAUUUGGGGGAAGUAGAAGCAGACACAUUUUGUUGAAGAUUGAUUAGUUGUCACUUAAAGCAAUCUAAACUGUAAGGGUCUAUAAUCUUAAUGCUAGUAUGUAGGCUCCCACUGCUGUAAUUCAGUUCAGGAUUUGUUCUCAGUAUGACAUAGCCUGGAACAAUUCUGAUAAAUCACAUGACUUCCUUGAAUAGAAAUCCUAGUAAAAUGGUGUGAAUGAGCCAUCAUUCACAGUAUAAUAUCUGGUC